rnacentral:rRNA from 1 species
AACGAACGCUGGCGGCAUGCCUAACACAUGCAAGUCGAACGAGACCUUCGGGUCUAGUGGCGCACGGGUGCGUAACGCGUGGGAACCUGCCUUUAGGUUCGGAGUAACUCAGAGAAAUUUGAGCUAAUACCGGAUGAUGUCUUCGGACCAAAGAUUUAUCGCCUUUAGAUGGGCCCGCGUUGGAUUAGCUAGUUGGUGGGGUAAAGGCCUACCAAGGCGACGAUCCAUAGCUGGUCUGAGAGGAUGAUCAGCCACACUGGGACUGAGACACGGCCCAGACUCCUACGGGAGGCAGCAGUGGGGAAUAUUGGACAAUGGGCGAAAGCCUGAUCCAGCAAUGCCGCGUGAGUGAUGAAGGCCUUAGGGUUGUAAAGCUCUUUUACCCGAGAUGAUAAUGACAGUAUCGGGAGAAUAAGCUCCGGCUAACUCCGUG